GCUCGCGGCCUAUCAGCUAGUUGGUGAGGUAAUGGCUCACCAAGGCGUCGACGGGUAGCCGGCCUGAGAGGGUGACCGGCCACACUGGGACUGAGACACGGCCCAGACUCCUACGGGAGGCAGCAGUGGGGAAUAUUGCACAAUGGGCGCAAGCCUGAUGCAGCAACGCCGCGUGAGGGACGACGGCCUUCGGGUUGUAAACCUCUUUUAGCAAGGAAGAAGCGAAAGUGACGGUACUUGCAGAAAAAGCGCCGGCUAACUACGUGCCAGCAGCCGCGGUAAUACGUAGGGCGCAAGCGUUAUCCGGAAUUAUUGGGCGUAAAGAGCUCGUAGGCGGUUUGUCGCGUCUGCUGUGAAAUCUGGGGGCUCAACCCCCAGCCUGCAGUGGGUACGGGCAGACUAGAGUGCGGUAGGGGAGAUUGGAAUUCCUGGUGUAGCGGUGGAAUGCGCAGAUAUCAGGAGGAACACCGAUGGCGAAGGCAGAUCUCUGGGCCGUAACUGACGCUGAGGAGCGAAAGGGUGGGGAGCAAACAGGCUUAGAUACCCUGGUAGUCCACCCCGUAAACGUUGGGAACUAGUUGUGGGGUCCAUUCCACGGAUUCCGUGACGCAGCUAACGCAUUAAGUUCCCCGCCUGGGGAGUACGGCCGCAAGGCUAAAACUCAAAGGAAUUGACGGGGACCCGCACAAGCGGCGGAGCAUGCGGAUUAAUUCGAUGCAACGCGAAGAACCUUACCAAGGCUUGACAUAUACGAGAACGGGCUAGAAAUAGUCAACUCUUUGGACACUCGUAAACAGGUGGUGCAUGGUUGUCGUCAGCUCGUGUCGUGAGAUGUUGGGUUAAGUCCCGCAACGAGCGCAACCCUCGUUCUAUGUUGCCAGCACGUAAUGGUGGGAACUCAUGGGAUACUGCCGGGGUCAACUCGGAGGAAGGUGGGGAUGACGUCAAAUCAUCAUGCCCCUUAUGUCUUGGGCUUCACGCAUGCUACAAUGGCCGGUACAAAGGGCUGCAAUACCGUAAGGUGGAGCGAAUCCCAAAAAGCCGGUCCCAGUUCGGAUUGAGGUCUGCAACUCGAC
rnacentral:rRNA from 1 species